ensembl:ncRNA lncRNA:CR44573 long non-coding RNA:CR44573
UUUAUGUCAACUGACUGCGCACAACUUUUGUUAGCCGCAGACCAGCCGCCUCCGCACUACUCUCUACAUAUAUCUAUAAAAGGAGGAUGACCAAGAACAGGUCUAGGAUUCCACCGAAGGACCGAGAAAAACUAAAAUGUAUCCAAGAGAAAACAAGGAGAAGAGAAGAGCUUGCAGCGGACGAAUAAAAAUAAAACUGUCCAGAAAUUUUAAUAUAAGCCACUGCGAUGUUCUCCGGCCGGGAAACUGUGUCACUAGGCACCAGGCAGGCACUUCCUUAACCCUCUAUUUCCAGAUCCUACCACCUUGGCUGGCUAAGGAUGGCUGCAUUAUGGCCGGGCUUAGGGCCAAAAGCCCACCUCCUGUUGCAGCACCUUUUUGCUUUGACGCCCAACGAACCGUUACCGAACAGAAAGCCAAUUCCUGCUGCCGUGUGGAGGCAUUUUGUCUUUGACAAAAAUUUAAUACACGCCAGUUUGUCUUCGGCUUUUGUUCCCCGAAAAAGUUCACGGAAGCAGGAGCAGGAGCACCUGGAUCGGCAAAGGAGUUACAAAUCCUGUCGCCACUUGCGUGUGCAACAGCAGAAGCUGCAACAACAAAUUCAAGCGUGUUUUACAUGACAAGCGAGUAAGUCGCAUGGGGUUAAAAGUCUUGCAGUUGUUACAGCGGAUCGCUAAUGCAGUUGGUUAUUCAUCUUUCAAUUCGGCUACGAUGUGGAUUACAGCAGAACCAUUGCUUUAGAUACUAAAACUAGCUGAGCUGCUUUUCAAGUUAACAGAUUAAUAUCGUUCUAAGCCGAAUUUUCAGGACUUUCAAUGUGACGUUUUCAAAAGUACAGAUUACAGAACUCAUAUUUUGACCGUACAAAUGAUCCAGUUCAAACGACCGAACGCUCUAGACCUAUUUGGAUCGUUUUUCAAUCUGUUGACCAUCUGCAGCUGCAAAUUAGGUCGCCGAAGCGGCUGCUGCAGUUGUGGAUGAUGUUGCUGCCGUCAUUGUUGUCACAUUUGGUCGGAAUUCGCUGGCAAUUUUCGCAAACUGCUGCAACACGACGGCAGCAAUGCUGGCACAUAUGUGGCAGGACAUCCCAUUCCCAUGCUCGUUCGCAAUGCCAUUCGGAAACGAAACCCUUUCUGAGACCGAGUACAUGUUCCUGCCGUUGCCACUGUCGGUUGGCCAAUGGCUUUUAAUUGAAAGCGGCAUAUUCGAAGCGGCAGCAGGCCCAGUUAAAAAUUGUAAUUUCCAUUUCCCUGCCAUCGACUUGCUUUGGCCUUUUUUUCCCAUACCGAGCGGCUUUAAAAUUGCCGCUGGGGCAAAAGCAAGUUCCUCGGGCCGUUCUUUAUGUUGCUGCUGUGGUUGCUGCUGCCGCCAAAUUAAAUUGGCUUUAAAUUGACACCUCCGGUGGCAGGAUAUACCCAACACUAUAGCACACAGCCCUCCACACAUCCGCGUUGCUUAACUUUAUUAAGGAUUUCGUGCUGCAGCUGCUGCCUCCGCCUUCGCCACGCCCCCUUUGCAACAGCGGCAGUUAAUAAAGAACCAAAUUAUUGUGUUGUUCACACUUUGACACAUGGAAACGGAAAUUAAAUUAAGGAUUUUUUCAAUAAACCUUCGAGCUUUAAGGUUCGACCGAUUCCUUCGAGCAGCUGUGCCUGUGCAAGUUCACAUAUAAAUAAAGCACAAAUUAGUUUUGCAUGCAAU